GGUCAGUUCACUGACACGGUGGGGGGGGGUCUCCACUCAGUGACCAUACUCGGUGGGCUACAUGCAUAUUGAAACAGCACAGAUACCUGUUAGAAUCAUGGAGCCUACAUGAUCACCUCAGGGACCAUAAUCAGAUGGGAAGAAAAACCAAAAAAGGACUUUGAAUCAACGAAGCCCAAAGUCAAGUAGAGUUACACAGAGCAAGGAGCCCGGCAACAACCAGACUGCCUUACAAUAAAGGAAAGGCCGUAAGUCGCAAAGACCGGAAGACAUUACGUCCUGAGUCUCGGCUCCCCACAGUGGCUUUCUUGUCCAUUUCUUUAUUUUCAGCAGUUUCUCGAGAAGUCUACGGCAUCCCCGGGAAGAGGCCAAGUCCUCAGCCGUGGCCACUACCACAAGAGCAUCUGAAAAUCCCCAGACGAGUGAACUGCAUCCCUUUAACAGCCUUUGAAAGCCCUACGACGGCCUCCCGGCAGCCACAAGCAGUCCCGUGAGCAGCUCUCCUCCACGGCUCGCUCGGUGCAGGGCUGGGGAAGAAAUACAUAAUUUAUGCAGGCAAUUACACAUCAAUUGGUUAUUAAAAGUGCCCUCGAUGAGAUGCGCUGUGUUGAGGAUGCGAGAUAAAUCUGGUUCCCCAGGUAACCAGCGCGCGCCCCAGACAGAAGGCGCAGGCUCCAAUCUGAUCUGCUCACGUUCUCUUGACCCAGCCACUCCACCUGCAGCGUGGCCCUGCCUGGCGUGGGUGGGCAAGCAGAGCCACCAGG